AUUGUCUCAUAUCCUAAAUCUGAUGACUGGGCUUUCACAUGUGUGUGUGAAGUGUGCCUCCCUCGGUCUUGUUACCACAUCAGCACAGUAAAUAAAUUGCCUUAAA
rfam:Otolemur garnettii contig041739, whole genome shotgun sequence.